GAGUUUGAUCCUGGCUCAGAUUGAACGAUAGCGGGAUGCCUUACACAUGCAAGUCGAACAACGGCAGCACGGACUUCGGUCUGGUGGCGAGUGGCGGACGGGUGAGUAAUGUAUCGGAACGUGCCUAGUAGCGGGGGAUAACUACGCGAAAGCGUAGCUAAUACCGCAUACGCCCUACGGGGGGGAAAGCAGGGGAUCGCAAGACCUUGCACUAUUAGAGCGGCCGAUAUCGGAUUAGCUAGUUGUUGGGGGUAACGGCUCACCCCAGGCGACGAUCCGUAGCUGGUUUGAGAGGACGACCAGCCACACUGGGUCUGAGACACGGCCCAGACUCCUACGGGAGGCAGCAGUGGGGAAUUUUGGACAAUGGGGGAAACCCUGAUCCAGCCAUCCCGCGUGUGCGAUGAAGGCCUUCGGGUUGUAAAAAGCACUUUUGGCAGGAAAGAAACGUCAUGGGCUAAUACCCCGUGAAACUGACGGUACCUGCAGAAUAAGCACCGGCUAACUACGUGCCAGCAGCCGCGGUAAUACGUAGGGUGCAAGCGUUAAUCGGAAUUACUGGGCGUAAAGCGUGCGCAGGCGGUUCGGAAAGAAAGAUGUGAAAUCCCCCCAGAGCUUAACUUUGGAACUGCAUUUUUAACUACCGAGCUAGAGUGUGUCAGAGGGAGGUGGAAUUCCCGCGUGUAGCAGUGAAAUGCGUAGAUAUGCGGAGGAACACCAGUGGCGAAGGCAGCCUCCUGGGAUAACACUGACGCUCAUGCACGAAAGCGUGGGGAGCAAACAGGAUUAGAUACCCUGGUAGUCCACGCCCUAAACGAUGUCAAGCUAGCUGUUGGGGCCUUCGGGCCUUAGUAGCGCAGCUAACGCGUGAAGUUGACCGCCUGGGGAGUACGGUCGCAAGAUUAAAACUCAAAGGAAUUGAUCGGGGACCCGCACAACGCGGUGGAUGAUGUGGAUUAAUUCGAUGCAACGCGAAAAACCUUACCUACCCUUGACAUGUCUGGAAUUCCGAAGAGAUUUGGAAGUGCUCGCAAGCAGAACCGGAACACAGGUGCUGCAUGGCUGUCGUCAGCUCGUGUCAUGCGAUGUUGGGUUAAGUCCCGCAACGAGCGCAACCCUUGUCAUUAGUUGCUACGAAAGGGCACUCUAAUGAGACUGCCGGUGACAAACCGGAGGAAGGUGGGGAUGACGUCAAGUCCUCAUGGCCCUUAUGGGUAGGGCUUCACACGUCAUACAAUGGUCGGGACAGAGGGUCGCCAACCCGCGAGGGGGAGCCAAUCCCAGAAACCCGAUCGUAGUCCGGAUCGCAGUCUGCAACUCGACUGCCGUGAAGUCGGAAUCGCUAGUAAGCACCGGAUCAGCAUGUCGCGGUGAAUACGUUCCCGGGUCUUGUACACACCGCCCGUCACACCAUGGGAGUGGGUUUUACCAGCAAGUAGUUAGCCUAACCGUAAGGGGGGCGAUUACCACGGUAGGAUUCAUGACUGGGGUGAAGUCGUAACAAGGUAGCCGUAUC
rnacentral:rRNA from 1 species